UACGAAGGGGACUAGCGUUGUUCGGAAUCACUGGGCGUAAAGCGCAUGUAGGCGGAUUUGUAAGUCAGGGGUGAAAUCCCGGGGCUCAACCUCGGAACUGCCUUUGAUACUGCGAAUCUUGAGUCCGAUAGAGGUGGGUGGAAUUCCUAGUGUAGAGGUGAAAUUCGUAGAUAUUAGGAAGAACACCUAUGGCGAAGGCAGCUCUCUGGGACGGUACUGACGCUGAGACGCGAAAGCGUGGGGAGCGAACAGG
rnacentral:rRNA from 1 species